UGCCUAAUACAUGCAAGUCGAGCGGACAGAUGGGAGCUUGCUCCCUGAUGUUAGCGGCGGACGGGUGAGUAACACGUGGGUAACCUGCCUGUAAGACUGGGAUAACUCCGGGAAACCGGGGCUAAUACCGGAUGGUUGUUUGAACCGCAUGGUUCAAACAUAAAAGGUGGCUUCGGCUACCACUUACAGAUGGACCCGCGGCGCAUUAGCUAGUUGGUGAGGUAACGGCUCACCAAGGCAACGAUGCGUAGCCGACCUGAGAGGGUGAUCGGCCACACUGGGACUGAGACACGGCCCAGACUCCUACGGGAGGCAGCAGUAGGGAAUCUUCCGCAAUGGACGAAAGUCUGACGGAGCAACGCCGCGUGAGUGAUGAAGGUUUUCGGAUCGUAAAGCUCUGUUGUUAGGGAAGAACAAGUACCGUUCGAAUAGGGCGGUACCUUGACGGUACCUAACCAGAAAGCCACGGCUAACUACGUGCCAGCAGCCGCGGUAAUACGUAGGUGGCAAGCGUUGUCCGGAAUUAUUGGGCGUAAAGGGCUCGCAGGCGGUUUCUUAAGUCUGAUGUGAAAGCCCCCGGCUCAACCGGGGANGGGUCAUUGGAAACUGGGGAACUUGAGUGCAGAAGANGAAGUGGAAUUCCACGUGUAGCGGGUGGAAU
rnacentral:rRNA from 1 species